AUGCCGGAACCACCACGUCCGUGCGCCGUUCCACGUUAUAAACCGCCCCCCGCGCCCCACAGAAACACCCGAAGCCAGGCAAGGCAACCUCCCUCUGCCCCAGACACGCUCACGAGGUCCGUGCGCUCUCUCGAUCGCAUGGCCGCGCCCGCAACCAACCUCCGGCGCGCGGAGCUGUGCGCCGCCGCCGUGUCGGCCGCGGACGCGGCGUCGUGGUGGUGCGCCGUGGCGCUCGUCGCGCUCGUGCUGCUGGGCGCGCUCAGCGCGGAGACCGCGGACGAAGAUGGGGAAGGCGCCGCGGCGGCGUACUUCCGCGGCCCGCGGCUCGGCGGCGCGGCGGCCCGGCCGUGCGACGGGGUGUACGUGGUCGGGGAAGGCGAGACGCUGCACACCAUCAGCGACAAGUGCGGGGACCCGUUCAUCGUGGAGAGGAACCCGCACGUGCACGACCCCGACGACGUCUUCCCGGGGCUCGUCCUCGCGCUCCGGCCGACCAAGAACACCUAA
rnacentral:rRNA from 1 species